GUAUCAUGCGAAACGUUCUGUAAAGCUGUCAAUCUGUGUUAAUAAAAAAUGCGUUGCUAUGGAGAACAUAUGAGGAAGUAAUCUGAUGCUUGCAUGCGGACUCGAUUGUGUCGAUUUAAUAACUUUUAACUAAUUAUUUCACUGCUAUGUGCUCCACUUGUGACACUGAAGCAACAAAGAAUGACCCUAACUCUACUCACACGAGUUCUGUCAAACAUUGGGAGUUUUAAAUACGGUGGCUUGCCUUCGUAAACAUAUACAUGCAAUUGUAUACAUUAAUUAUAACCUUCAAGAAAGCAUAGUAGUG